rnacentral:rRNA from 1 species
UUCCGGAUGAUCCUGCCGGAGGUCACUGCUAUCGGUGUUCGACUAAGCCAUGCGAGUCAAAUGUUCAACGUGAACAUGGCGAACUGCUCACUUUCACGUGGAUAACCUGCCGUUAGGACUGGCAUAACCCCGGGAAACUGGGGAUAAUUCCGAAUGGGCCAUGUAUGCUGGAAUGCUUCGUGGGUAAUUUGGUUCCGACCGCCUUUGGAUGGAUCUGCGGCCUAUCAGGUAGUAGUGCCUGUAGUGUACCUACUAGCCUACGACGGGUACGGGUUGUGAGAGCAAGAGCCCGGAGAUGGAUUCUGAGACAUGAAUCCAGGCCCUACGGGGCGCAGCAGGCGCGAAAACUUUACAAUGCGGGAAAGGGCGAUAAGGGCACACUGAGUGCCUGCAUACUAUGUUGGCUGUCCACAUGUGUAAACAGCAUGCGUUAGCAAGGGCCGGGCAAGACCGGUGCCAGCCGCCGCGGUAACACCGGCGGCCCGAGUGGUGAUCACUAUUAUUGGGUCUAAAGGGUCCGUAGCCGGUUUGAUCAGUCUUUUGGGAAAUCUGACAGCUCAACUGUUAGGCUUCCGGGGAAUACUGUCAGACUUGGGACCGGGAGAGGUAAGAGGUACCACAGGGGUAGGAGUGAAAUCUUGUAAUCCCUGUGGGACCACCAGUGGCGAAGGCGUCUAACCAGAACGGGUCCGANGGUGAGGGACGAAAGCUGGGCCCACGAACCGGAUUAGAUACCCGGGUAGUCCCAGCCGUAAACGAUGUUCGCUAGGUGUCAGGGACGGUGCGACCGUUCAUGGUGCCGCAGGGAAGCCGUGAAGCGAGCCACCUGGGAAGUACGGCCGCAUCGCUGACACUUAAUCGAAUUGGUGGGGGAGCAGAACAACGGGUGGAGCCUGCGCAUUAAUUGGACUCAACGCCGGAAUUCUCACCGAGACCC